GUAAGUGGAAGAGCUUCUGAACUGAAUCCAAGCCACAUCUGGAAAUACUGAAGCAAUGUCACUGGCAAAAAUGUGAGUAAACAUGAGGGCAUGCUUAGACCUACUCAUAAUGGAGCAUCAUCUCAGGAGAAAACAAUUCCAUAAAUGUCCCGGUUUCAAAAUUUUACUAGUUUCUGCAUCAGUGUCCCAAUAUUAAACUCCACAUUUUUACUUUGCACACAUUGUCAUAUUCAUACAGUGAUUUACAACCGUCAAGCACUACAUAUGUGGUCCUCAAAAUGUUUGGCUUUAUAGGACCUGAACCAAAAACAUUUCACAGCAGCUUUCAAUGUUAACCCAGAUUGUGGGAGAGGCUAUGCAUAAUUAUUUUCACACCAAUAAAACUAUUCACUAUAAUCAUAAAUUACAAGAACCAAGAAUGAGCUUCUAACUUAUUUCAACAGAUACAAUACAUAUCACAUACAUUUGUCCAUAUUCUAACUACUAAUUUCAUAAAUACUUGAUGUUUACACCAAUAAUGCUACUGGAAUUAAAUAAUAUUACAUAGAAAAGUAUAUGAAAACCAGAUAUAACAAGCUCUAAAGAGCUAAAUUUUAGUUACAAAAUGGGUCAUAGGCUAAGAAAUAACUACUUAUCCACAAUAACUAUAAAU